rnacentral:rRNA from 1 species
CCUACGGGUUGCACCAGUGGGGAAUAUUGCACAAUGGGCGCAAGCCUGAUGCAGCCAUGCCGCGUGUAUGAAGAAGGCCUUCGGGUUGUAAAGUACUUUCAGCGGGGAGGAAGGUGUUGUGGUUAAUAACCGCAGCAAUUGACGUUACCCGCAGAAGGAGCACCGGCUAACUCCGAGCCAGCAGCCGCGGUAAUACGGAGGGUGCAAGCGUUAAUCGGAAUUACUGGGCGUAAAGCGCACGCAGGCGGUCUGUCAAGUCGGAUGUGAAAUCCCCGGGCUCAACCUGGGAGCUGCAUUCGAAACUGGCAGGCUAGGGUCUUGUAGAGGGGGGUAGAAUUCCAGGUGUAGCGGUGAAAUGCGUAGAGAUCUGGAGGAAUACCGGCGGCGAAGGCGGCCCCCUGGACAAAGACUGACGCUCAGGUGUGAAAGCGUGGGGAGCAAACAGGAUUAGAUACCCCAGUAGUC